CCUACGGGAGGCAGCAGUGGGGAAUAUUGCACAAUGGGCGAAAGCCUGAUGCAGCAACGCCGCGUGAGCGAUGAAGGCUUUCGGGUCGUAAAGCCCUGUUCUUAAGGAAGAUAAUGACGGUAUCUGAGGAGGAAGCCCCGGCUAACUACGUGCCAGCAGCCGCGGUAAUACGUAGGGGGCUAGCGUUACUCGGAAUUACUGGGCGUAAAGGGUGCGUAGGUGGUUUCUUAAGUCAGAGGUGAAAGGCUAUGGCUAAACCGUAGUAAGCCUUUGAAACUGGGGAACUUGAGUGCGGGAGAGGGGAGUGGAAUUCCUGGUGUAGCGGUGAAAUGCGUAGAUAUUAAGAGGAACACCAGUUGCGAAGGCGGCUCUCUAGACUGUAACUGACACUGAGGCACGAAAGCGUGGGGAGCAAACAGGAUUAGAUACCCGAGUAGUC
rnacentral:rRNA from 1 species